rnacentral:lncRNA from 1 species
GAAGGACCCAUCAGGGUGUGGAACAGUGAACAAAAAUGCAUAUUUGUUAAUGGAAGCAUGCUCUGGCUUCCCCCAGCUCCUGAGAUCUUGUAUCUCCACAGUCAGAAGAAUUCAGAUUGAAAGCCAAAGCUCCAAGAGACUGAGUAACUGCCUGACCAUCCCUGCCGGAAGAAGCAGGGAAGCUGAGAGAUUGAUUUCUGCAUAUCCAGGCUAUCUCGGCACGAGGCCUAGCUGUCCUGCAACGUCUUGCAAACCUUGAGCACUGUCACGCAGUCUGAAACACACGACCUUCAAGUAGGAAAUAAAUCUUUUUAAACGAGUGUGAGAAGCACACAGAUCUUGAUGAAGUCCGUGUCCCACUUUUGCCAAAAGCAGAGAACAUACUGUCCAGGGUCAUCAAGAUGGGAAGCCAAGGCCGUACUGAACAAGGGGCCUGCUAGAGCCCUAACUGGGAUGCUGGCAUUACUCUAUCCUCACAGGAGAUGAGAGGACUGGAUGAUGGUGCACGGAGAGACCUCUCGAUUCUCAGAAGCACAUGGAGGCCGGGAGUGCAAUGACAAUAUCACGCUUCCACCAGGACACGUGGGGUGGGGUAGCCGAGUUACAGCCAAGAUAAUGCCUAUAUUUGGCUGCUGAGACAGAGAAAAAUCUUUAACUUUUGCUUUAAUAAAAUGCACAAUUUUGCAUGUUUUUAAAAGAAC